rnacentral:rRNA from 1 species
GACGAACGCUGGCGGCGUGCUUAACACAUGCAAGUCGAGCGGUAAGGCCCUUUCGGGGGUACACGAGCGGCGAACGGGUGAGUAACACGUGGGUGACCUGCCCUCAGCUCUGGGAUAAGCCUGGGAAACCGGGUCUAAUACUGGAUAUGACUCCAUGACGCAUGUUGUGGGGUGGAAAGCCUUGUGCGGCUGAGGAUGGGCCCGCGGCCUAUCAGCUUGUUGGUGGGGUGANGGCCUACCAAGGCGACGACGGGUAGCCGGCCUGAGAGGCGACCGGCCACACUGGGACUGAGACACGGCCCAGACUCCUACGGGAGGCAGCAGGUGGGGAAUCUUGC